rnacentral:lncRNA from 1 species
CAGUGAUGAUGUUACUAGCCCUUUUUAUGCAGAAUAAUAAGGCAUCAGAAUUUAGAGAUUCACUGACGCUACUAUACUAUCUAUAAUACCGGAGCUCAGAUACUGUAAUCUCGUUUUCUAUUUUAGAAUGUUCAAAUCAACGAUCCAUACUAUUAAAUAUAAUCUAGGGUAUAUAAUGUUCUUGUGAAUAAAAUUUUAAUUUUUUUCGAUAUUGCUUACUUAGUAAAUUAAUCGUGCCAAAAUGAACGGUAAAAAUUAACAAUUUUUAAACUUUGAGGAUAGAACUUUUGAAAUCAAAAUCAAAGAUACUAACCUUGAUCUAGAUAGUUUGAAGUAUUUUCUAUUAAAAUUUAAAUAAAUUUAGAUUCUUCUACACCGUUAAACUACAAACUCUCUAGAGUAUCCAUUGUCUAUUUUCAAUGGCUUGAUUAUAUAAAGUAAAUUAUAUCGAAAGAAUAUAAAAUUAUUAUUUUUAAAAAUUUUAAGUACUCUAAAUCAGUUUUAAUUGUGUGGAUUAUUGAUUGGAAUAUCCUAAAAUCGAAAACGAGACUGUAGUGCUGGAGCCCCGGUUCAAAUGAUGGAUCAUAUUGAAUGCUGUGAUUUAAUU